rnacentral:lncRNA from 1 species
GCAGAAAAUAGACUGUUAAAAAAAACUGGUGAAGGCUAAACUGCUAUCAUGUUUUUAUGUUUAGCAUAUGCUUCCCGUUGCUUCUCUGCUGUCCCUUCCCCGCUCUCCUCGCUUGGCUGGCACGAGACCCUCGGAGCAGCGCAGGCUCCUCCAGGGAGGGCAGUGUCCGCUGAGAAGGUCACACCGGCAGCAGCGGGUGGAAGCACUGCAGUGUGUUGCCAAGCUGUGCUGCAUUUCGACAACCCUUAUCUGUUCCUCACCUGGCCACAUGCCCACCUGGAGACCACGAGCACAGCUCAUAAGUAGGAGAGCAGGUCACCUGUGAAGGCUGAGGGUCUUCAGGGGAGCUGUUGUUUGAGAAGGUCCUGGAGUGAAAGAAACAAUCCUUUGCUCCAGUGGAGAUACUGAAAGAAGAACAAGCCUGGUAUUGCAAGGAGGUAAAAGGCUGGGACAGAAUUGAAAUGGAUGCUGGAGAACAGGCAGAGGCAAUAUAGUGCUGAUGUAUGGUGCCAAACCAACAGCACUGGCAUCCUAGUCCUCACUUUUACUUGUGGAACGUGUGCAGGCAAGGAACAUCUUUUCCCUUCGCCUUGUGGAGUUGCCUGGCGGCAGGAGGAGGCCCGUUCCUGUCUCUUUAUCCUGAGGCUUCCUACUUUCCCUCCCUUUUAUUUACCACCUCUUUCUGUGAACAACUUUGAAAUGGAAAAACAGCCAGUUGGGAACACCUGCCUAUCGACAUUUUCUAUGUUGUUUGCCCAAGACUGGCGAACUCUGAGGCCGUGGGCAGAAGAGACAAUAUCGACACUGAUUUCUAAAGCUACUGCCUCAUCCCUAGCGCUGUGCACGCAAAUGCUGUCAGACUCCUGGGAGAAGGUCUGGAAGGAUAAGGCUGCAAUCAGGAGGCUCCAAGGCCAGCCUUGUUCAGAAAAAAGGCAAUCAAACUGUUAACACUCUGCUUAGGCACCAACAACCUGGUAACAGCAAGAGCCGAGUGUAGAAUCCGCUGCUGUUCGAAACGCCUGUCCUUGGGUUCCCACAGCCCUGGUUAGGGCUCUAACUGGAUACCUAAGAAAAACCCGGGAUUUUGCAGGUAGCAUUAAUAAUAUGACAUUAUUCCUUCUGGUAGAAGCUGCAAUAAUGCAGCUAAUCAGUGGGUUUUUUUUUUUUGUUUUGUUUUGUUUUUGAAAGCAAAGCUCUUGAGAUAGUGUGAUGGUUUUUGCUUAGCUUUGGAAGCAUGGGAACAUGACCCCCAGGAGCACCUUUGGCUGUCCAGGCACUUUUCUCUUCCCCUGCUUGUGGCUGUCAGACCACAUAUGCAGGAAAUGGGGUCCCGUGAUGGACAAGUACAAGGUGCUUCUGCUUCAGAGAAAGUGAAACUACUCAAAUAUACACCCGAACUUCAAGACACAGGAGGGACUGUGACUGUUAAAAAGCACUUUUUUCCAGCAUGGUGGCUUGCUGUGUCUGUUUCCUGCUCUGGCUUUCCAGCUGUAGUCUCUUCAUAUGGACUAUGUAAGAUGCAGUUGAAGUUUCAGGAGCUCUUCCACCUGUGUUCUCCUUCUUGGCCUAGGUAUGACUUCCCUGGCUGCCAUGGUGCAGAAACAGUCAACAUGUCCAAUUGGGAUUAAUUUUCUUUUCUGGAGAGCCUUGAAUUAUGUUUUCAAAGGAGAUGUGGAUAAAAGCAAAUGACUUCAAUGAGAUUUCUUUCAAGCUGUGGAGGAUUAAGUGUGGAAUUCUGGUAAUCUAUAUUAAGGUCUUAUGUAUUAAAAUAUAUUAAAUGGAAGUGCUUGAACAACAUGUUUGUUGCUGAAGUUUUCUGAUAAAUCAAGCCACGGAACUGAUGGAUAUCACUUGGCCAAGCACCUGGAGCAAGCUUUGCCGAAGGGCUGCCUGGUCUUUAAAAACAGGUGUCUUCUGUAGUUACAGAAAGAAUUUAUAUAACUUUUCCAGUUUUGUCUGGUCGUUAAGCUCAACAAUUCACUUACUCAAAGUCAGUAAAAAACAGGAAAUUGGUUUUCCUUUUGUAACCUCUGAAUAAAAAUCAGGUGCAAGAAAAUCA